AGGACGAACGCUGGCGGCGUGCUUAACACAUGCAAGUCGAACGGUAAGGCCUUCGGGUACACGAGUGGCGAACGGGUGAGUAACACGUGGGUGAUCUGCCCUGCACUUCGGGAUAAGCUUGGGAAACUGGGUCUAAUACCGGAUAUGACUGCGCAUCGCAUGGUGUGUGGUGGAAAGCUUUUGCGGUGUGGGAUGGGCCCGCGGCCUAUCAGCUUGUUGGUGGGGUGAUGGCCUACCAAGGCGACGACGGGUAGCCGGCCUGAGAGGGUGUCCGGCCACACUGGGACUGAGAUACGGCCCAGACUCCUACGGGAGGCAGCAGUGGGGAAUAUUGCACAAUGGGCGCAAGCCUGAUGCAGCGACGCCGCGUGAGGGAUGACGGCCUUCGGGUUGUAAACCUCUUUCAGUAUCGACGAAGCGUAAGUGACGGUAGGUACAGAAGAAGGACCGGCAACUACGUGCCAGCAGCCGC
rnacentral:rRNA from 1 species